ensembl:lncRNA
GAAAAUCGUGUUAGUCAAUCCUUCACCUAGACCCAGUUCCUAAAUAUUAUGGAAUGUAUGUAGCCACCUGUGCAUGUCUUAUGGUGGUGAAGGAAAAUCCCUUCUCAGGCCUGCCCAGGUUGCUCAUUUAGCUUGAGUUGAGCUCUCCUUCUCAGGCUUGCUUGGCAAUUGGUGCUGUUUUUAUAUAGGGAAAUAACCAACCUUCUUAAAAAGAAUGGGAACCUGGUGGAUUCCUUGUCUCAGCAGCCUCCCUGACGCGCUGGACUGUGAAUGUCACCCUUAAGCUGGGUGCACUUCCCCACGCUGCCUUUUUGGUUUCUUUAAUUGCGUCUGUGUUCUUGCACUGUCUGAUGGAAAAGAAACAGGUCUGCUCAGAUUAAACUGAAAGGGAUUGUGAGAAACAAGUCUCCUGAGAUAAUUUGGGGAUGAUAAUUAACAUCACUGGGAGCGUUCAAUUUCUGUAAGUCCUUUUUGGUCAGAAGGGAUCAAUUUUCCAGGAUCGAGAUAAAAACGGAGCCCCCCCUAAAUCAUUUCCUAUCAUUGUCCCAGAAGCCAAUAAACACAAGGAACCGUGACCAUUCUUUCCUCCUGGGGAUGGUAGAAUCGAAACCUGAAAGUUAAGUAAUAUACUUAGAUACUAUGGUGAUCAAGUUCUCCCGCAAUUGUAGGCACGAUCAAUGAAUAAUAAAUCAUCUCAUUUUUGAACAGCUUGAACUCUACCUUUCCAAAGCAGAGGGAGAGAAGUUUUAGAAAAGAUGGAUCUAAUUAUUUCUGCAGAAUCUUGGUGGUACCAUCCCAGCAGCGGGUCUGCAUUGCAAUGCAUCCCUUAGCAUCAGUGCUGUUGUGUGCCAGGCUGGAGACAACAGUUCAGCAGUAAAAAUGAAGUUGAACAAGAUCAUGAUGUUAAAUGACAGUGUUUUGGAAUCAGAUGGAAUACUUCGAUGGAGUUUGAGGUGGUUGUCCUGUAAAGCAUCUCAGGGAAGGAAGAAGACUUGUGGCUACCUGAGAGCAAAGGGACUGAACCAGCUUGAAGGAAGCCAAGACAAUCCAGAAGGGAAAGGCUACACCCUCCUUUGGCCACGCAUGUUAAGUGCAUUUGCCACUGGUGACUGGGGGCCCAUUCUGCGAGUGCUCGGCUCUUUCUCUGCCUGCCUGGAUGGAGAGGCAGGUUCCGUGCAGCUUUAUGGUGGAGAAGAAAGAGGAAAAUGUGCUUCACUAACUGGGUAAUUAUCCCCUUCUGACGCUGAAGAUAAUUCCCUUUGAGGCUGUUGUAUGUCAUGAGUUUGGGAAACAGGCAGCUAGAGCCAUUUAUGUCCCCUGUUUCUGCGAGACACAGAGUUGUAGGAGGUGGGCCAGAUGCAGAGGAGCAGCCUCGUGUUGCCCGCAGAGAUAUCUCUCCAUCACUUUAUUUCUGGAUCCGAAACGAAUUGUUGCAAAUUGGGCCCUAUAUAAUGGGAUAAAACAAAACCCAGUGACUAGACAGAUGGCAGGCAUUUUAAAUAGUUGUAUCAGGACUCAAACCCAUCUGUGUUCAGGAAAUAUUUAGAUGUAGCGUUGAGUGACAUGGUGUAGUGGGGUUAUUGGUGGUAGGUGGAUGGUUGGACUGGAUGGUCUUGUAGGUCUUUUCCAACCUAGCUAAUUCUAUGAUUCUGUGAUUGUAUGAGAUCUGCAACUGACAAAGAUCCACUGUAGCACCAAUUCACAGCAGCUGAAAGUAUCUGCUUUGGAACUCUCUUGGUUGGAUAUUCAUAGAAUCGUAGAUUCAUUAAGGUUGGAAAGACCAGUAAGGGCAUCCAGUCUGACAAUCAACCUAUGCCUUUGAUUGCUUUAGACCACGUCACUCAGUGCAACAUCCACACUUUUCUCGAACACCUCCAGGGAUGGUGACUCCACCGCGUCCCUGGGCACCCUGUGCCAACACCUCACCAAAUUGAGGACUACCUGAAGACAGACCAGCUCUCCAUACCUUGUCAGCUGGGAAACUCAGAAGGACAGAGCAUGCAUGGGGGAUAAAGAGAAAGAGAAGGGGUGGAUAGCAGUGAAUCUCUGCAGGGGUUGGAGUAUGCAGCAGGUGCAAGAGCAGGACACCAAAGUCCUCUGUGCACUUAAUGGACAAGGAUAGAUGGCUGAGCCUGAUACAGGCUAAUAACAGGGGAGAUGAGCUGACAGCACAGAAGACUGAAGCUCUCUGUCUGGCCAGAGCGCAGGGAUAGUGCAGGGCUGGUGAAAGGAUCAGGAGGGAAAGCAUGCACUAAAUCCACUUAGUUAUCCGCUGCCAGGGCAGCAUUUGUCUGCUACAGGGAAUAAAUGGCCUCCACUGCUUUGAAAGCA